rnacentral:snRNA from 1 species
AUCGCUUCUCGGCCUUUUGGCUAAGAUCAAGUGUAGUGUAGGACAACAUAUCAAUGUACAGUACAGCACAAUACAAGGCAUGGAUGAUACACCUGUUUCUGAACUUUACCAUUCAGAUGGGAGCUCAGAUGAUAUAAUAAUCUCUCUCUCUCUCUCUCUCUC